rnacentral:rRNA from 2 species
GGAUCCAGACUUUGAUUAUGGCUCAGGAUGAACGCUAGCGGCAGGCUUAACACAUGCAAGUCGAGGGGCAGCGCGGGGCGGCAACGUCCUGGCGGCGACCGGCGGAAGGGUGCGUAACGCGUGAGCGACAUGCCCGUUGCCCGGGGACAACCGGUGGAAACGCCGACUAAUCCCCGAUGGGACGGAGGCCCUCAUGGGUCUCUGUUGAAAGUUACGGCGGCGACGGAUUGGCUCGCGUCCGAUUAGCUUGUUGGCGGGGUAACGGCCCACCAAGGCUACGAUCGGUAGGGGUUCUGAGAGGAAGGUCCCCCACAAUGGAACUGAGACACGGUCCAUACUCCUACGGGAGGCAGCAGUGAGGAAUAUUGGUCAAUGGGCGGAAGCCUGAACCAGCCAUGCCGCGUGCGGGAAGGAGGCCCUAUGGGCUGUGAACCGCUUUUGCCUGGGGGCAAUAAGGGCGUCGCGCACGUCCGAUGAGAGUACCAGGGGAAUAAGCAUCGGCUAACUCCGUGCCAGCAGCCGCGGUAAUACGGGGGAUGCGAGCGUUAUCCGGAUUCAUUGGGUUUAAAGGGUGCGUAGGCUGUGCGUCAAGUCAGGGGUGAAAUUCCGGGGCUCAACUCCGGGGCUGCCCUUGAUACUGUCGCGCUGGAGUGCGGAUGCCGCCGGAGGAAUGAGUGGUGUAGCGGUGAAAUGCUUAGAUAUCACUCAGAACACCGAUUGCGAAGGCAUCUGGCGAAUCCGUAACUGACGCUGAGGCACGAAAGCGUGGGGAUAGAACAGGAUUAGAUACCCUGGUAUUCCACGCCGUAAACGAUGAUGGCUAACCGCCGGCGACAUACUGUCGGUGGCCAAGCGAAAGCGAUAAGCCAUCCACCUGGGGAGUACGUCGGCAACGAUGCAACUCAAAUGAAUUGACGG